rnacentral:lncRNA from 1 species
CCAUAAGCAUAUACUGUUACCAAUAACUUUUUAAGUUUAUCCACAGUUAAAAGAAAAAUCUAUGAUUAAAAAUGGUAAUCUGAUACAUAUAUGCUCUGACACAGCCUUAAGGUAUUUGAUAAAUGUUUGCCGUUUAUUUGAAUUUACAAGUUAAAAUAAAGUUUUAAGUCUUAAAAUAAAGGGAACAAUAUGACAAAAAACCUGAAUCACGAUUCUAGUGGUAGAAGCAGCAAUACCUUAAAAACAAGAGAUCUUAAUUUCCUCAUUUUACACAAGAAAAAAACACCACCAAUGUGUUUAGAUAAGUUAUAGAAUAUUUUUUUCCUAAAUUUAAAAUAUUGUUUUCAACCAGGAGUGUGGCACACACCAGUAGUCCUAGCUACUCCAAAGGCUGAGGCAGAAUUGCUUGAAUUGGGAAGCAGAGGUUGCAGUGAGCCGAGAUAGCGCCACUGCACUCCAGACUGGGCUACACAGCGAGACUCAGUCUCAAAAAUAAAUAAUAAAAUCGGCUGAGCGCGGUGGCUCACGCUGGAGUGCAGUGGCGCGAUCUCGGCUCACUGCAACCUCUGCCUCCCGGAUUCAAGCAAUUCUCCUGCCUCAGCCUCCCAAGUAGCUGGGAUUACAGGUGCCC